rnacentral:rRNA from 1 species
UACGAAGGGGCUAGCGUUGCUCGGAAUCACUGGGCGUAAAGCGCACGUAGGCGGCUUUUAAGUCAGGGGUGAAAUCCUGGAGCUCAACUCCAGAACUGCCUUUGAUACUGGGAAGCUUGAGUCCGGAAGAGGUGAGUGGAACUCCGAGUGUAGAGGUGAAAUUCGUAGAUAUUCGGAAGAACACCAGUGGCGAAGGCGACUCGCUGGACAAGUAUUGACGCUGAGGUGCGAAAGCGUGGGGAGCAAACAGG